GACGAACGCUGGCGGCGUGCCUAAUACAUGCAAGUAGAACGCUGAAGAGAGGAGCUUGCUCUUCUUGGAUGAGUUGCGAACGGGUGAGUAACGCGUAGGCAACCUGCCUUGUAGCGGGGGAUAACUAUUGGAAACGAUAGCUAAUACCGCAUAACAAUGGAUGACACAUGUCAUUUAUUUGAAAGGGGCAAUUGCUCCACUACAAGAUGGACCUGCGUCGUAUUAGCUAGUAGGUGAGGUAAUGGCUCACCUAGGCGACGAUACAUAGCCGACCUGAGAGGGUGAUCGGCCACACUGGGACUGAGACACGGCCCAGACUCCUACGGGAGGCAGCAGUAGGGAAUCUUCGGCAAUGGGGGCAACCCUGACCGAGCAACGCCGCGUGAGUGAAGAAGGUUUUCGGAUCGUAAAGCUCUGUUGUAAGUCAAGAACGGGUGUGAGAGUGGAAAGUUCACACUGUGACGGUAGCUUACCAGAAAGGGACGGCUAACUACGUG
rnacentral:rRNA from 1 species